UGUGUUCUGUGCCACAGGAGGUCUGAGCGAGGCGGCCAUUGCGGGAAUCGCGGCAGGGGUCCCUUGCGCCAUCCUCCUCCUCAUCCUCCUCAUCCUCCUCAUCGUCUGUUGCGCCUACAAGCGAAGACGUCGUGAGACGAGGUACCCAGUAUCCAGGGCAGUGGACAGGGCGGUCGUGACCCAGCCAAAUCUGAAUGCUCCACACAAGCUGCUGACAGGAGGCAUGAAAAGCUUAGGACCCCCAGACUACAACCUCCACUAGGUUUUUCAUGACCGUACGAACCCUGCCAUCAGAGCGGUCCUCCACACUCCCCUAUGAGGUGUCUCCCCCAGCUGUACGAAUGGCCACCACCGUCUAAACGCAGCACUCUUAUGUACAGACCCCUCACCUGUCCAGUACUGUGUAUAUGUUACAUUUUGUGUUGUCUUUUAUAUUAUUUUUUAACUUCAUUUUCCUCUUUUUUUCAAAAUUUUCUGUAAUG